ACCAACAAGAAAGUGAAGCCCAAGAAAC
rnacentral:piRNA from 1 species